UACGAAGGGGGCUAGCGUUGCUCGGAAUUACUGGGCGUAAAGCGCACGUAGGCGGCUCUUUAAGUCAGACGUGAAAUCCCUCGGCUCAACCGGGGAACCGCGUCUGAUACUGGCGAGCUUGAAUUCGGGAGAGGGAUGUGGAAUUCCAGGUGUAGCGGUGAAAUGCGUAGAUAUCUGGAGGAACACCGGUGGCGAAGGCGGCAUCCUGGACCAGUACCGACGUUCAGGCACGAAAGCGUGGGGAGCAAACAGG
rnacentral:rRNA from 1 species